rnacentral:lncRNA from 1 species
GAAAGGGAGCAUUUUUCUCCCAUAGUUUCAUUUCUACCCCUUCUAAUCCAUGCCUGCCUUAUUAAAAGUCUUUUGAAUGUAUGUUCUGUGGGGCAUUGGAAGUUGAAACAGCAUUGGAUUGUCAAUGGAACACUCCAAUGUGCAGUCUUAAGAGAACAGUCCCAGAGGAUAUUUGCACAGCAAGUACCACUUCUUCUAAGAUGUUAAUAGAAGACUUGGCACGGGCUAGGAAGGAUAGACAGUUCUUAAUGUUCACCACUGCUACUCAGUUCAUUGAAAAGCAGGUAAUAGGAACAACCUUCUUGUGACCCUUGGGAUGGAUGGCAUUCCUGCUGUGCUGUUACAUGUUUUCCUAAAAACAGAAAAAGAAAAAGAAUAGACUUUGCCAAUGUAACCCCCCAAAGACAACCAGACACCACGGAUUUACUAGGUAGUGUGUUUUUCUACGUACAUUUUCCUCAAUACAUCGAACUGAAGUGUGUUUGACCUCCCUCAUUUUUUUAGCAACACAUUAAUAUCUGACUUCUUUAUCUUUUUAAAAAAAUAUUCACUGGAGAAAGCUUGAAAUGUGUUUUUCAGUAGUGUCCUUGAGAUAUUUUUAGGCGAGUCCCUGGACCAUUCUAAUCACUGUAGUGAGAAUUAUGUAUCCAAGUGACCUUUUAUAUUCAGAACACCCACUAUUUUUCUAAAGGAAGGAAUAUUUAUGAUUUUAUACAUGUGUAUUUAUUCACUGUUGCUCAGUCCCAUAUUUUAAAAUAAGCCAAUAAUUCUCUUGAUAAAAGCUACCACGUGACACUUUUAAAAGGUCAAGACUGCCUGAGGUUUUUGAAAAUUCCCCAUGGUUUACACGCUUGCAGGGUCCAAAAAUAUGCUUUAACUUUUUAAAAUAAGCUUUUGGUUUCCACCACCAGGUAGCAUUUUGUGCCACUGUGAUGCAGAUGUGAUGCUGGUAUAUCAUUCAGAAGGUUAAGGGAGGGAAGGGGGAGUCUAUAGUGCUGGAUAAACAAAAGCAAACUGUUUGAGAGAAAAGUAUAUAGACGGAAGAUGACUUACUCAAAAGGAAGAAACAAAACAUACAAAACAAACAAACAAACAAAACCUCUCCUGGCUGCCUAUCAUCUCUGAAAAAGAAAAAAAUCUGAAUUUAACAAAGGGGCAGAAUCUGAAUCUGUAGCAAAAGCUUGCCACAGUUGUGCGGGGUGAGGGUGGGAGAGAGGGGAGCUGGGAACUCAAGUCCCAUUAAAGGGUUCAAAAUGACCGCUGCCGGCAGUGAUUCAAACACCUCAUUGGCAAUUACUUCACUGAAAACUCGACUGAAUCCAAAACUCACCCAAACCCACCAAACCAGCGUCUGCUACUUUAAUUCACAGCACCCUGCGUUCGAUGGCCUGUGGCUUCCAAAGCAGGUGCCACAUCCACGCAGGAAGAAACACACACCUUCUGUUACUUCGCAGACUCUGUUAAGCUAAGCUCACCAAAUUGUGUCAGAGGACAUCAAGCGGUUUGUUUGGUUUUUCUUUCUUUCUUUUUUUUCCCCCUUGUGUUUUUCAGUCUCCACUAAUCAAUUUUGCAAUCUACCCUCUUGCCAAAUGUAAUUUAGCAAACUCGUUAUCCUGCUUGGCAUUACACCGGUUCUUGUAAACGAAAGAAUUCCUCUCUGGUUUUCAGAAGGCAUACUUCUUGCAUUGCAAAAAAAAACACAAAUAUUUAAUGAUCUUCUACUCUUUGGCAUGGCCUUUUCUUUCUAACACGAGCUGGUAAUACUUUCUGUGUAUGUAUCAGACCACUAAAGAAACUCAAUGGCAAGGAACAGUAUUUCUGAAAACCUGUAGAAAUGUUUGUUGUAAUGAAAUGGCACAGGCUUAAAGAGAUGCCAAGAAAGGAAAAGAUGGACUCCUUACUUUUAUAACUCAAGAUUUCUAUUUUGUAUCAAUAUAUGCUGCAUUUUCUGACUGAAAUCGCUGUCUAACUGGAUUUGUGGCCUUCUGUCGCUUUUUACAUUUGAAAUCAAAUUUCAUACAGUAAGCUUAUUUGUCCCUUUCUGUUUGGGAGUCAAUUAGAAUAUUUCAUUUCAUUAAUUUAUUUUUUUACGUGCUAAAACAAAACAAAACAGAAGCAAGUGACAUUUGCCUUCAUUAUCUCAAAAGCUAUCUGUGGACAAAAUCCAUGAAGCCUAUGGACGGUGAUCAAUACAAAUAAAAGGCAGACCUCCCUGUAAACGGUGAAUUUGUGAAUGAGGAAUUGUUCAAUGGCCUCUGAGUCCCUCCCCUCUGUCCCUUCAUGGCCUUCUUUCUAUUCUGAGUCAUCCAUCAAGCAAUUGUAAGAUACAAAAUCAAAUGACAUGCUAUCAGGUAUGGACACAAGAAAUGCUUGUGCUCUCAAUUUCAGGACUCACAGCUCCCCACAGUCACGGGGCUGUCCUUCACUCGGCCUUUUUGUUAACAGUGUGGCUUUGCUAGAAAACAUGCUAUCGUUUGCUUUGGUAUACAAGAUUUUACCCUGUUGCAGCAAAUGAAAGGCAGAUGGCGCAUUGGAAAGGCUGGUGUCAGAUGCCAUCAGCUCUGUUUGGAACUACAAAGCUGCUGAAAUGGAAUUUACUGCUGUAAAUAUGUACAAUUUAUGUCAGCUUAUUUCAAUAAAAAAAAUUUAAGAAACC